AGUGAACGCUGGCGGUAGGCCUAACACAUGCAAGUCGAACGGCAGCACAGUAAGAGCUUGCUCUUACGGGUGGCGAGUGGCGGACGGGUGAGGAAUACAUCGGAAUCUACUUUUUCGUGGGGGAUAACGUAGGGAAACUUACGCUAAUACCGCAUACGACCUACGGGUGAAAGCAGGGGAUCUUCGGACCUUGCGCGAUUGAAUGAGCCGAUGUCGGAUUAGCUAGUUGGCGGGGUAAAGGCCCACCAAGGCGACGAUCCGUAGCUGGUCUGAGAGGAUGAUCAGCCACACCGAAACUGAGACACGGUCCAGACUCCGACGGGAGGCAGCAGUGGGGAAUAUUGGACAAUGGGCGCAAGCCUGAUCCAGCCAUACCGCGGGGGUGAAGAAGGCCUUCGGGUUGUAAAGCCCUUUUGUUGGGAAAGAAAAGCAGCAGGUUAAUACCCCGCUGUUCGGACGGUACCCAAAGAAUAAGCACCGGCUAACUUCGU
rnacentral:rRNA from 1 species